CCUACGGGUGGCAGCAGUGGGGAAUAUUGCACAAUGGGGGAAACCCUGAUGCAGCGACGCCGCGUGAGGGAAGAAGUAAUUCGUUAUGUAAAGCUCUAUCAGCAGGGAAGAAAAUGACGGUACCUGAGUAAGAAGCCCCGGCUAACUACGUGCCAGCAGCCCCGGUAAUACGUAAGGGGCAAGCGUUAUCCGGAUGUACGGGGUGGAAAGGGGGCGUAGACGGCAGUGCAAGCAUGUAGUGAAAGGCGGGGGCUCAACCCCCGGACUGCACUGGAAACUGUACGGUUGGAGUGCAGGAGAGGUAAGUGGAAUUCCUAGUGUAGCGGUGAAAUGCGUAGAUAUUAGGAGGAACACCAGUGGCGAAGGCAGCUUACUGGACUGUAACUGACGUUGAGGCUCGAAAGCGUGGGGAGCAAACAGGAUUAGAUACCCUUGUAGUC
rnacentral:rRNA from 1 species